rnacentral:rRNA from 2 species
CUUGCAUCAUGAUUUACAUUUGAGUGAGUGGCGAACUGGUGAGUAACACGUGGGAAACCUGCCCAGAAGCGGGGGAUAACACCUGGAAACAGAUGCUAAUACCGCAUAACAACUUGGACCGCAUGGUCCGAGUUUGAAAGAUGGCUUCGGCUAUCACUUUUGGAUGGUCCCGCGGCGUAUUAGCUAGAUGGUGGGGUAACGGCUCACCAUGGCAAUGAUACGUAGCCGACCUGAGAGGGUAAUCGGCCACAUUGGGACUGAGACACGGCCCAAACUCCUACGGGAGGCAGCAGUAGGGAAUCUUCCACAAUGGACGAAAGUCUGAUGGAGCAACGCCGCGUGAGUGAAGAAGGGUUUCGGCUCGUAAAACUCUGUUGUUAAAGAAGAACAUAUCUGAGAGUAACUGUUCAGGUAUUGACGGUAUUUAACCAGAAAGCCACGGCUAACUACGUGCCAGCAGCCGCGGUAAUACGUAGGUGGCAAGCGUUGUCCGGAUUUAUUGGGCGUAAAGCGAGCGCAGGCGGUUUUUUAAGUCUGAUGUGAAAGCCUUCGGCUCAACCGAAGAAGUGCAUCGGAAACUGGGAAACUUGAGUGCAGAAGAGGACAGUGGAACUCCAUGUGUAGCGGUGAAAUGCGUAGAUAUAUGGAAGAACACCAGUGGCGAAGGCGGCUGUCUGGUCUGUAACUGACGCUGAGGCUCGAAAGUAUGGGUAGCAAACAGGAUUAGAUACCCUGGUAGUCCAUACCGUAAACGAUGAAUGCUAAGUGUUGGAGGGUUUCCGCCCUUCAGUGCUGCAGCUAACGCAUUAAGCAUUCCGCCUGGGGAGUACGGCCGCAAGGCUGAAACUCAAAGGAAUUGACGGGGGCCCGCACAAGCGGUGGAGCAUGUGGUUUAAUUCGAAGCUACGCGAAGAACCUUACCAGGUCUUGACAUACUAUGCAAAUCUAAGAGAUUAGACGUUCCCUUCGGGGACAUGGAUACAGGUGGUGCAUGGUUGUCGUCAGCUCGUGUCGUGAGAUGUUGGGUUAAGUCCCGCAACGAGCGCAACCCUUAUUAUCAGUUGCCAGCAUUAAGUUGGGCACUCUGGUGAGACUGCCGGUGACAAACCGGAGGAAGGUGGGGAUGACGUCAAAUCAUCAUGCCCCUUAUGACCUGGGCUACACACGUGCUACAAUGGAUGGUACAACGAGUUGCGAACUCGCGAGAGUAAGCUAAUCUCUUAAAGCCAUUCUCAGUUCGGAUUGUAGGCUGCAACUCGCCUACAUGAAGUCGGAAUCGCUAGUAAUCGCGGAUCAGCAUGCCGCGGUGAAUACGUUCCCGGGCCUUGUACACACCGCCCGUCACACCAUGAGAGUUUGUAACACCCAAAG